AUUGAACGCUGGCGGCAUGCCUUACACAUGCAAGUCGAACGGUAACAGGUUAAGCUGACGAGUGGCGAACGGGUGAGUAAUAUAUCGGAACGUGCCCAGUCGUGGGGGAUAACGCAGCGAAAGCUGUGCUAAUACCGCAUACGAUCUACGGAUGAAAGCGGGGGAUCGCAAGUCCUCGCGCGAUUGGAGCGGCCGAUAUCAGAUUAGCUAGUUGGUGGGGUAAAAGCCCACCAAGGCGACGAUCUGUAGCUGGUCUGAGAGGACGACCAGCCACACUGGAACUGAGACACGGUCCAGACUCCUACGGGAGGCAGCAGUGGGGAAUUUUGGACAAUGGGCGAAAGCCUGAUCCAGCAAUGCCGCGUGCAGGACGAAGGCCUUCGGGUUGUAAACUGCUUUUGUACGGAACGAAACGGUCUCUUCUAAUAAAGGGGGCUAAUGACGGUACCGUAAGAAUAAGCACCGGCUAACUACGUGCCAGCCGCCGCGGUAA
rnacentral:rRNA from 1 species